rnacentral:lncRNA from 1 species
UGCGGGGAAACAAAACAUUCACUCUGUGGUUAAAGUUUUUAGAAUUUUAAUAACUUUCUUAAACUAUCCUGGAUUUGUACCAAACUUGGACAGAAGCUUGUUUAUGAUCAUAAGAUAAUAUCCAGAAGUACUUUUUGUAAAAAUAAAAUUCCAUUUUUUCUGUAUUUUACUAUAAAUGGACUUAGUUUUUUCUGCGGGGAAACAAAACAUUCACUCUGUGAAUAAAGUUUUUAGAAUUUUAAUAACUUUCUUAAACUAUCCUGGGUUUGUACCAAACUUGCACAGAAGCUUGUUUAUGAUCAUAAGAUAGUAUCCAGAAGUAAAGUUUGUAAAUAAAUAAAUCUAUUUUUUCCAUAUUUUACUUUUAAAUGGACUUAGUUUUUCUGCGGGGAAC